UGUUGCCAUAUAUCUCAUACACUAGCUAUUUUUCACAAUAAAUCAGUCACUCCUCUCACACAAAACCUUGUUUGGCACUGCAUUUUCAGCUGCUCAUCAAAACUGAUAUUUUAUUUUUACUUUUUUUUUUUUUUUUUUUUUGCAGCUAGUGGACAAUGAUUUGGUGAAAGCUAGAAAAUCUAGCUUUUCCAAAACCAUGGUCUAACAAGCACAGGCUGCGAAAAGCAGCCUACCAGUGCCAGACAGGCCUUAUAUCACCAAAUAGGCACAUAAAAAUUACAAAGCCAACUCAAAAGGAGUCCUCAAGGCUUAACUAUAGAAGUAUGUUUC
rnacentral:misc_RNA from 1 species